rnacentral:rRNA from 3 species
AGACCCGAAACCCGGUGAUCUAGCCAUGGGCAGGUUGAAGGUUGGGUAACACUAACUGGAGGACCGAACCGACUAAUGUUGAAAAAUUAGCGGAUGACCUGUGGCUGGGGGUGAAAGGCCAAUCAAACCGGGAGAUAGCUGGUUCUCCCCGAAAGCUAUUUAGGUAGCGCCUCGUGAAUUCAUCUCCGGGGGUAGAGCACUGUUUCGGCUAGGGGGCCAUCCCGGCUUACCAACCCGAUGCAAACUGCGAAUACCGGAGAAUGUUAUCACGGGAGACACACGGCGGGUGCUAACGUCCGUCGUGAAGAGGGAAACAACCCAGACCGCCAGCUAAGGUCCCAAAGUCAUGGUUAAGUGGGAAACGAUGUGGGAAGGCCCAGACAGCCAGGAUGUUGGCUUAGAAGCAGCCAUCAUUUAAAGAAAGCGUAAUAGCUCACUGGUCGAGUCGGCCUGCGCGGAAGAUGUAACGGGGCUAAACCAUGCACCGAAGCUGCGGCAGCGACACUCAGGUGUUGUUGGGUAGGGGAGCGUUCUGUA